rnacentral:rRNA from 1 species
UUCCGGUUGAUCCUGCCGGAGGUCAUUGCUAUUGGAGUCCGAUUUAGCCAUGCUAGUUGCACGAGUUCAGACUCGUAGCAGAUAGCUCAGUAACACGUGGCCAAACUGCCCUAUGGAUCCGGAUAACCUCGGGAAACUGAGGCUAAUCCGGAAUACCGUUCAUCGCCUGGAGUGGCCUGAACGCGAAACGUUACGGCGCCAUAGGAUGUGGCUGCGGCCGAUUAGGUAGACGGUGGGGUAACGGCCCACCGUGCCCAUAAUCGGUACGGGUUGUGAGAGCAAGAGCCCGGAGACGGUAUCUGAGACAAGAUACCGGGCCCUACGGGGCGCAGCAGGCGCGAAACCUUUACACUGCACGAGAGUGCGAUAAGGGGACUCCGAGUGCGAGGGCAUAUAGCCCUCGCUUUUCACGACCGUAAGGUGGUCGUAGAAUAAGUGCUGGGCAAGACCGGUGCCAGCCGCCGCGGUAAUACCGGCAGCACGAGUGAUGACCGCUAUUAUUGGGCCUAAAGCGUCCGUAGCUGGCCACGCAAGUUUAUCGGGAAAUCCGCGCGCUCAACGCGCGGGCGUCCGGUGAAAACUGUGUGGCUUGGGACCGGAAGACCAGAGGGGUACGUCCGGGGUAGGAGUGAAAUCCCGUAAUCCUGGACGGACCACCGGUGGCGAAAGCGCCUCUGGAAGACGGAUCCGACGGUGAGGGACGAAAGCUCGGGUCACGAACCGGAUUAGAUACCCGGGUAGUCCGAGCUGUAAACGAUGUCUGCUAGGUGUGGCACAGGCUACGAGCCUGUGCUGUGCCGUAGGGAAGCCGUGAAGCAGACCGCCUGGGAAGUACGUCCGCAAGGAUGAAACUUAAAGGAAUUGGCGGGGGAGCACUACAACCGGAGGAGCCUGCGGUUUAAUUGGAUUCAACGCCGGG